GGGCCUGACACAGUUUCGAUUGCGGGCAGAGGACGGAGUAAGCAUACCGAAGGCUCGGCUUCGUAAAAACGGAAUUUAAAUUUAAACGCAGAAUCAAAAGAUUCCAAAGUUGUUGCAUUCCCUGCCUACAGGGCACCUGCAAUGGCUUGCGCUGCCUAAGGUUUAGGCGGUCCGUCGCCUGCGUAUCUCCGCCGCAUGCAGGGGGCGUCAUUCAGGCGGAUAACGGUUUUUAAGGCUUUGCCGCGCCUUUAAAACUGUAAUUUUGCGGCACGCUGCCGCCCUUUCCCCGUUUAUCGGGAGGGGCGGAGUAAGCUAAAAGGUAAACUAAGUAUGUAGAAAGCCCGCCCGACCCCCGUAAGACCAGAGUGCAACUCUCUGCAGGUCCACCA
rnacentral:tmRNA from 1 species